rnacentral:rRNA from 1 species
ACGGCGAGUGAGCGGGAAAAGCUCAAAUUUAAAAUCUGGCGGGGGGCCUCCCCUGCACGAGUUGUAGUUUCAAGAAGCGUUUUCGGCGCGCGCCUGGGUAUAAGUCCUUUGGAACAGGGCAUCAUAGAGGGUGAGAAUCCCGUUCGUGACCCGGAGCGGCGCGCUAUGUGAUACGUCUUCGAAGAGUCAGGUUGUUUGGGAAUGCAGCCUAAAAUGGGUGGUAAAUUCAUCUAAAGCUAAAUAUUGGCGAGAGACCGAUAGCGAACAAGUACCGUGAGGGAAAGAUGAAAAGCACUUUGAAAAGAGAGUUAAACAGUACGUGAAAUUGUUGAAAGGGAAACGUUUGAAAUCAGUCAUGCGGGCGGGUAAUCAGCUUGGCCUCGCGCCCUGUGCACUUUCCCGUUCCGCAGGYCAGCGUCGGUUUUGGYGGCCGGACAAAAGCAGUGGGAAUGUGGCCCCCUUCGGGGGUGUUAUAGCCCCCGGCCCAUACGGCGGCCGGGACCGAGGCCUGCAGCCGACGCCCUCACGGGCUGGGGAACCCGUCUGCUCGGGGGUAACCGGGCCUAGACAGCUUGCUGACUAGGUCUGGCCUGCCCGCGACCCAGGUGGGCCACCGCACGUCGGCUUAGGUCGCUGGCUUAAUGGUUUUAAAUGACCCGUCUUGAAACACGGACCAAGGAGUCUAACAUGUAUGCGAGUGUUUGGGUGGCAAACCCGUGCGCGCA